rnacentral:rRNA from 1 species
AACGAACGCUGGCGGCAGGCCUAACACAUGCAAGUCGAGCGAGAUCUUCGGGUCUAGCUGCGGACGGGUGAGUAACGCGUGGGAAUAUGCCUCUUGGUACGGAAUAGCCUCGGGAAACUGGGAGUAAUACCGUAUGUGCCCUUUGGGGGAAAGAUUUAUCGCCAAGAGAUUAGCCCGCGUUGGAUUAGGUAGAUGGUGGGGUAAUGGCCUACCAAGCCGACGAUCGAUAGCUGGUUUGAGAGGAAGAACAGCCACACUGGGACUGAGACACGGCCCAGACUCCUACGGGAGGCAGCAGUGGGGAAUCUUAGACAAUGGCGGCAACACUGAUAUAGCCAUGCCGAGUGAGAGAUGAAGGCCUUAGGGUUGUAAAGCUCUUUCAGCUGGGAAGAUAAUGACGGUACCAGCAGAAGAAGCCCCGGCUAACUCCGUG